rnacentral:rRNA from 1 species
UACGAAGGGGGCUAGCGUUGUUCGGAAUUACUGGGCGUAAAGGGCGCGCAGGCGGCCCUCCAAGUCAGGCGUGAAAGCCCCGGGCUCAACCCGGGAACAGCGCUUGAGACUGGGGGGCUUGAGUUCGGGAGAGGAGAGUGGAAUUCCCAGUGUAGAGGUGAAAUUCGUAGAUAUUGGGAAGAACACCGGUGGCGAAGGCGGCUCUCUGGCCCGCAACUGACGCUGAGGCGCGAAAGCGUGGGGAGCGAACCGG